AAUGCUUGAUGGGUUCCAGCAGACUGAGGACGUGGGUUUGGGACUUUCGGACCACGGCGAGGUGAGCUUGGCCCGGAGCGGCAGAAGUGGGCGAGGUUCGCGUGGGAGGAGGGACAUCGACUUAGUUUUUCUUGAGAGAUCUGACCGUGCCGUGGCUGCAGACCAUCUUCGCGUCAGCCACCGCCCUGGAUCACGCCAAGUGGGUUCCCAGCCCCUGCCGCCUCGUGAACUCCGCCAAAGUCAGCCACGGGAGAUUACCAUAUUCUAAAACUUCACCUGGACCGUUGGUGUGAACGCUGGGACGAAGAUCCAGGAGUUAGGAUAAGACUGAAUUGAACCCUAAAUCAGCUUCCGUGAUAAAACCGAGAGAUGGAGAAUUACUCAGCACAUUUUAUAUUGAUAAAAAUAUAUGAGGCUGACUCCUUUGAGUUCAGGAAAUGGAACAUCUGAAUUUGGUGUACCCGUAGUCACUUGCAAAUCUUAGCUUCUCUGCUCCCGUGGCUUUGUGAAAGCUCCCCUCCUGGCAUAGAAGAUCUCCGUCCUCCCAUUAGCCCUAGCAGAGUCCUGACACUCUGUGAUGUUGGGUCCUGCUAUCUCCAGAAGGAAAUCACCUAUGUCUCCUAUGCCAGUCUACGGAGCACUUCUUUUUCUGAGCUACAGCAACAUUUGCCACCCAGUUCAGCAACUCUGCUUCCUCUUGAUUGUGUAUAAAUCUCAUCUCUUCCAAGCUAUCUACUUUUACUCCCAUUGUGCCUCUGUGUUAAGAAGACAUACUGAGUAAAGCUUGGUUUCUUAAAUUCA
rnacentral:lncRNA from 1 species